UCGAGUUUUGAACGGGUUGUCUGCUGGCUCGCAAGGGCAUGUGCACGCCUGUCUCAUCCACUCUCAACUUCUGUGCACUUUUCAUAGGCCGGCUUGUGGGUGCGUUCGCGCACUUGUAGGUGUCGGGCUUAUGCUUUAUUACAAACGAUUCAGUUUUAGAAUGUCAUACUUUGCUAUAACGCAAUUAUAUA
rnacentral:misc_RNA from 1 species